AGAGUUUGAUCCUGGCUCAGAUUGAACGCUGGCGGCAUGCCUUACACAUGCAAGUCGAACGGCAGCACGAGAGCUUGCUCUUGGUGGCGAGUGGCGAACGGGUGAGUAAUAUAUCGGAACGUACCCUAGAGUGGGGGAUAACGUAGCGAAAGUUACGCUAAUACCGCAUACGAUCUACGGAUGAAAGUGGGGGAUCGCAAGACCUCAUGCUCAUGGAGCGGCCGAUAUCUGAUUAGCUAGUUGGUGGGGUAAAAGCUCACCAAGGCGACGAUCAGUAGCUGGUCUGAGAGGACGACCAGCCACACUGGAACUGAGACACGGUCCAGACUCCUACGGGAGGCAGCAGUGGGGAAUUUUGGACAAUGGGCGCAAGCCUGAUCCAGCAAUGCCGCGUGAGUGAAGAAGGCCUUCGGGUUGUAAAGCUCUUUUGUCAGGGAAGAAACGGUGGACUCUAAUACAGAUCACUAAUGACGGUACCUGAAGAAUAAGCACCGGCUAACUACGUGCCAGCAGCCGCGGUAAUACGUAGGGUGCAAGCGUUAAUCGGAAUUACUGGGCGUAAAGCGUGCGCAGGCGGUUGUGCAAGACAGAUGUGAAAUCCCCGGGCUCAACCUGGGAAUUGCAUUUGUGACUGCACGGCUAGAGUGUGUCAGAGGGGGGUAGAAUUCCACGUGUAGCAGUGAAAUGCGUAGAGAUGUGGAGGAAUACCGAUGGCGAAGGCAGCCCCCUGGGAUAACACUGACGCUCAUGCACGAAAGCGUGGGGAGCAAACAGGAUUAGAUACCCUGGUAGUCCACGCCCUAAACGAUGUCUACUAGUUGUCGGGUCUUAAUUGACUUGGUAACGCAGCUAACGCGUGAAGUAGACCGCCUGGGGAGUACGGUCGCAAGAUUAGAACUCAAAGGAAUUGACGGGGACCCGCACAAGCGGUGGAUGAUGUGGAUUAAUUCGAUGCAACGCGAAAAACCUUACCUACCCUUGACAUGUCUGGAAUCCUUGAGAGAUCAGGGAGUGCUCGAAAGAGAAUCAGAACACAGGUGCUGCAUGGCUGUCGUCAGCUCGUGUCGUGAGAUGUUGGGUUAAGUCCCGCAACGAGCGCAACCCUUGUCAUUAGUUGCUACGAAAGGGCACUCUAAUGAGACUGCCGGUGACAAACCGGAGGAAGGUGGGGAUGACGUCAAGUCCUCAUGGCCCUUAUGGGUAGGGCUUCACACGUCAUACAAUGGUACAUACAGAGGGCCGCCAACCCGCGAGGGGGAGCUAAUCCCAGAAAGUGUAUCGUAGUCCGGAUUGUAGUCUGCAACUCGACUACAUGAAGUUGGAAUCGCUAGUAAUCGCGGAUCAGCAUGUCGCGGUGAAUACGUUCCCGGGUCUUGUACACACCGCCCGUCACACCAUGGGAGCGGGUUUCACCAGAAGUGGGUAGCCUAACCGCAAGGAGGGCGCUCACCACGGUGGGAUUCGUGACUGGGGUGAAGUCGUAACAAGGUA
rnacentral:rRNA from 1 species